rnacentral:rRNA from 1 species
UACGUAGGGGGCAAGCGUUGUCCGGAAUCAUUGGGCGUAAAGAGCGUGUAGGCGGCCAGAUAAGUCCGCUGUGAAAACUCGAGGCUCAACUUCGAGCUGUCGGCGGAAACUAUCUGGCUAGAGUCCGGAAGAGGAGAGUGGAAUUCCUGGUGUAGCGGUGAAAUGCGCAGAUAUCAGGAGGAACACCGGUGGCGAAGGCGGGUCUCUGGGCCGAUACUGACACUGAGGAGCGAAAGCGUGGGGAGCGAACAGG